rnacentral:rRNA from 1 species
AACGAACGCUGGCGGCAUGCCUAACACAUGCAAAUCGAACGAGACCUUCGGGUCUAGUGGCGCACGGGUGCGUAACGCGUGGGAACCUGCCUUUAGGUUCGGAAUAACUCAGAGAAAUUUGAGCUAAUACCGGAUGAUGUCUUCGGACCAAAGAUUUAUCGCCUUUAGAUGGGCCCGCGUUGGAUUAGCUAGUUGGUGGGGUAAAGGCCUACCAAGGCGACGAUCCAUAGCUGGUCUGAGAGGAUGAUCAGCCACACUGGGACUGAGACACGGCCCAGACUCCUACGGGAGGCAGCAGUGGGGAAUAUUGGACAAUGGGCGAAAGCCUGAUCCAGCAAUGCCGCGUGAGUGAUGAAGGCCUUAGGGUUGUAAAGCUCUUUUACCCGAGAUGAUAAUGACAGUAUCGGGAGAAUAAGCUCCGGCUAACUCCGUG